rnacentral:rRNA from 1 species
CAGUUUGACUGGGGCGGUCGCCUCCUAAAAAGUAACGGAGGCGCACAAAGGUUUCCUCAGAUCGGUCAGACAUCGAUCUUCGAGUGUAAAGGCAUAAGGAAGCUUGACUGUGAGACCUACAAGUCGAACAGAGACGAAAGUCGGUCUUAGUGAUCUGGCGAUAUUGAGUGGAAAAGUCGUCACUCAACGGAUAAAAGUUACUCU